CAGGGAGACAACAAAAUGUUUAAUAUUAUUUUGUCACCUUAGGUCGAUCGGNAUCUCACGUUCUUAAUUUAUUAAGAAUCUCAUUUCCUAAGUUUUUCUAGGUCACACCCAUUAUUUUCCUGGGCCAUUAGCUCAGGUGGUUAGAGCGCACCCCUGAUAAGGGUGAGGUCCCUGGUUCAAGUCCAGGAUGGCCCAUAUCUCUAUGUUGGGGGUAUAGCUCAGUUGGUAGAGCGCCUGCUUUGCAAGCAGGAUGUCAGCGGUUCGAGUCCGCUUACCUCCACUGAUUACCACCUCUUCCAUAAUCUGUAGAAAGGAAAAUUUUUUGAGUUGUGAUCAUUAUUCUGAACGAAUCUAGCUUCCUAAUGAAGUCAUUAAGAUGCUGGACUCAUUGAAUUAAUUUCAUUGUUUUCAGAGAACCUUGACAACUGCAUAGAUUAUUUUAAAGACAAUAAGCAUCUUUAAUGAUGCAGAUUUAUUAUUUGUGCGAAUGCAUUAAUAACAAUUCUAUUAAGCUGAUGCUUCAAUUAUGAAGUUAUU
rnacentral:tRNA from 1 species